GGCGGCAUGCCUUACACAUGCAAGUCGAACGGCAGCACGGGAGCAAUCCUGGUGGCGAGUGGCGAACGGGUGAGUAAUGUAUCGGAACGUACCUUUCAGUGGGGGAUAACGUAGCGAAAGUUACGCUAAUACCGCAUAUUCUGUGAGCAGGAAAGCAGGGGAUCGCAAGACCUUGCGCUGAUUGAGCGGCCGAUAUCAGAUUAGCUAGUUGGUGAGGUAAAGGCUCACCAAGGCGACGAUCUGUAGCGGGUCUGAGAGGAUGAUCCGCCACACUGGAACUGAGACACGGUCCAGACUCCUACGGGAGGCAGCAGUGGGGAAUUUUGGACAAUGGGCGCAAGCCUGAUCCAGCCAUGCCGCGUGAGUGAAGAAGGCCUUCGGGUUGUAAAGCUCUUUCAGCCGGGAAGAAAACGCAUGGGUUAAUACCCUGUGUGGAUGACGGUACCGGAAUAAGAAGCACCGGCUAACUACGUG
rnacentral:rRNA from 1 species